GACGAACGCUGGCGGCGUGCUUAACACAUGCAAGUCGAACGGAAAGGCUCCAGCUUGCUGGAGUACUCGAGUGGCGAACGGGUGAGUAACACGUGGGUAAUCUGCCCUGCACUCUGGGAUAAGCCUGGGAAACUGGGUCUAAUACUGGAUAUGACCUUUCUCCUUAUGGGGUUUGGUGGAAAGUUUUUCGGUGUAGGAUGAGCCCGCGGCCUAUCAGCUUGUUGGUGGGGUGAUGGCCUACCAAGGCGACGACGGGUAGCCGGCCUGAGAGGGUGAUCGGCCACAUUGGGACUGAGAUACGGCCCAGACUCCUACGGGAGGCAGCAGUGGGGAAUAUUGCACAAUGGGCGGAAGCCUGAUGCAGCGACGCCGCGUGAGGUAUGACGGCCUUCGGGUUGUAAACCUCUUUCAGCAGGGACGAAGCGUAAGUGACGGUACCUGCAGAAGAAGCACCGGCUAACUAUGUG
rnacentral:rRNA from 1 species